GGGGUCGAUUUUAUUCGACGUUGGACUUUUACAACUCAUUUGGCAAGCCGGAAUCCUACACGUUAGCUGGGAAAAUUAAUAAUUGCAAAAAGCAAUUUAGUUGCAUCUCUAAAGCAUCUCGGUGCUAACUGGAAUGCAAUGCCAGUAGCUGCUUAACUGCAUCUACGAUCUUCGCAUGUGACAUCAGAUAACAUGCAGGGUCUCAUAUUUAUCUGAUUGCUCGGAAAUCUGCCACCUUAAGAUUUUCGCUAAGACUAUAAGGUUGCGCUAUCGGAAUAUUUUGUCUGUUCUAAGUUCUGAUAGCUAAGCCAAAUUUAAACAGAAUACGCUUGUAGUUCAAUUGAUAAGUAAACCAUCGGACGCGGGUGCAAUACCCGCCGACUCCACCA
rnacentral:tmRNA from 1 species